UGCCACGUUGAUUACAAAAUGUCUGGGAACA
rnacentral:piRNA from 1 species